UCAAGCUAUAAAGAGCACAAGGGGAAUGCCUUGGCACUAGGAGCCGAAGAAGGACGUGACUAACUGCGAUAAGCUACGGGGAGUUGUAAGUAAACAUUAAUCCGUAGAUUUCCGAAUGGAGCAAUCCGGCUGUGGUCAUGCACAGUCAUCAUAUACUGAAUACAUAGGUAUAUGAGGGGAACCGCCUGAACUGAAACAUCUAAGUAGGGCGAGGAAGAGAAAUCAACCGAGAUUCCGCUAGUAGUGGCGAGCGAACGCGGAAGAGGCCAAACCAGAGGUAGAAAUACCUUUGGGGUUCGGACAACAUACGAUAUUGAUAAUUUCUAGCUGAAUAGUGUGGGAAAGCUAACCGAAGAAGGUGAGAGUCCUGUAAGCGAAAGGAAGAGUCAGUCAGUUGUAUCCAGAGUACCGCCGGACACGUGAAACCCGGUGGGAAUACGGGGGGACCAUCCUCCAAGCCUAAAUACUACCUAGUGACCGAUAGAGAAGAAGUACUGUGAAGGAAAGGUGAAAAGCACCCCGGGAGGGGAGUGAAAGAGAACCUGAAACCUUGUGUUUACAAGCACCGAAAGUCCAUCAAAGGACGAUCGGGUACCUUUUGUAGAAUGGUCCGGCGAGUGUAUGUAUCUAGCAAGGUUAAGCACUUAAGGUGUGAAGCCAAAGCGAAAGCAAGUCUGAAUAGGGCGACAAGUUAGAUGUAUACGACCCGAAACCGGGUGACCUACCCAUGGCCAGGCUGAAGUGAAGGUAAAACUUCAUGGAGGGCCGAACCGACUCCCGUUGAAAUGGUAGCGGAUGAGUUGUGGGUAGCGGAGAAAUUCCAAUCGAACCCGGAGAUAGCUGGUUCUCUCCGAAAUAGCUUUAGGGCUAGCCUUGAAAUAGAUUACUGGAGGUAAAGCACUGAAUUGGCUAGGGGCCGAAAGGUUACUGAACCUUAUCAAACUCAGAAUGCCAGAUAAUCGUUUUUCAGGAGUCAGACGGUGGGAGAUAAGUUUCAUCGUCAAAAGGGAAACAGCCCAGACCCACAGCUAAGGUCCCAAAUUAUAGUUAAGUGGAGAAGGAUGUGGGAUUGCAUAGACAACCAGGAUGUUGGCUUAGAAGCAGCCACUCAUUAAAAGAGUGCGUAAUAGCUCACUGGUCGAGUGAUCCCGCGCCGAAAAUUUAACGGGGCUAAACUAUAAACCGAAGCUUGGGAUACCGCAAGGUAUGGUAGGAGAGCGUCAUGUAAGGGGUGAAGUCAUAGCGAAAGCGGUGGUGGACUUUACAUGAGUGAGAAUGCCGGAAUGAGUAGCGAGAAUUAAGUGAGAAUCUUAAUGGCCGAAAGUCUAAGGUUUUUGGAGGAAGGUUCGUCCGCUCCAAGUAAGUCGGGAGCUAAGGCGAGGCCGAAAGGCGUAGUCGAUGCACAUACGGUUGAUAUUCCGUAACCACUGACAACUUAAACAAAAUGACACUUUAGAAGGGCUUGACCCGGGUGCUGGUAAUCCCGGGCGUAAGGGACCGAAAUUUAGUAGGGAAGCAAGCAUGGAUAGAGGCGAGAAAAGUUUUGUGAAUGUAAUGUUGGUGCCCGUACCGCAAACCGACACAGGUGGACAGGAAGAGAAUUCUAAGGCCAGCGGGAGAAGGGUAGUUAAGGAACUCGGCAAAUUGACUCCGUAACUUCGGGAAAAGGAGUGCUCUCGAGAGAGAGCCGCAGUGAAUAGGCCCAGGCGACUGUUUAGCAAAAACACAGGUCUCUGCCAAAUCGAAAGAUGAAGUAUAGGGGCUGACACCUGCCCGGUGCUGGAAGGUUAAGAGGAGGAGUGAGAGCUCCGAAUUGAAGCCCCAGUAAACGGCGGCCGUAACUAUAACGGUCCUAAGGUAGCGAAAUUCCUUGUCGGGUAAGUUCCGACCCGCACGAAUGGUGUAACGAUCUGGGCACUGUCUCAACUACCCGCCCGGCGAAAUUGUAGUACCGGUGAAGAUGCCGGUUACCUGCGACAAGACGGAAAGACCCCAUGGAGCUUUACUGUAGCUUGAUAUUGGGUUUCGGUAAUUUAUGUACAGGAUAUGUGGGAGACUGGGAAGUUAUGGCGCCAGCCAUAAUGGAGUCGAUGUUGGGAUACCACACUUAGAUUGCUGGAAUUCUAACCUGUGGCCAUGAAACUGGUCAGGGGACAUUGUCAGGUGGGCAGUUUGACUGGGGCGGUCGCCUC
rnacentral:rRNA from 1 species